rnacentral:rRNA from 1 species
UACGGGGGGAGCAAGCGUUGUUCGGAUUUACUGGGCGUAAGGGCGCGUAGGCGGUCAGCACAAGUCAGUUGUGAAAUCUCCGGGCUUAACUCGGAAAGGUCAACUGAUACUGUGCGACUAGAGUGCAGAAGGGGCAACUGGAAUUCUCGGUGUAGCGGUGAAAUGCGUAGAUAUCGAGAGGAACACCUGCGGCGAAGGCGGGUUGCUGGGCUGACACGUGACGCUGAUG